rnacentral:lncRNA from 1 species
CCCCCUCCCUCGAGUGAACAGAAUCCUGGCCGAGCAUUCUGCCCCAUUCUCUUGAGAACGAGGACCUCCACCGAAACUCUCCGCCAAGCUAGCACCAUCCACAUCAUGAUCUCGAUCGUCUCCAGAGUGUCCUCCACCACCCAAGUGCUGCUCCUCUACCCUCUUCUGCAACCUAGCCUGCAUCUCCACCUCCCAAGCGUCGCUCUGCUACAUGAAAGCAAGCAUUGGCAAGGGCACCGCAACAAUCAAAGAGACUGAGGGAGCGGAAGGCGGUGGGCGAUGAAGCGAAGGUCGGGUAGGGCGAGCUAAAAGUGGAAGUUAGUGUCAUGCUCCCAAUCCAAAAUUUAUAUUAAAAUAAAUUUUUGGAGACACG